rnacentral:rRNA from 1 species
GUGUCAGCCGCCGCGGUAAGACAUAGGUGGCGAACGUUAUCCGGAAUUAUUGGGCGUAAAGGAUGCGUAGAUGGUAGAAUAAGUUGCUGGUCGAUGCCAAACUCAAUUUGACGGAAGCUAGCAAUACUGUUCUGCUAGAGGGCAGGAGAGGUUGAUGGAAUUCUGUGUGGAGCGGUGAAAUGCGUUGAUCUACAGAGGAACACCAAAAAAGGCGAAGGCAGUCAACUAUUCUGUUCCUGACAUUGAGGCAUGAAAGCGUGGGGAGCAAACCGGAUUAGAUACCCGUGUAGUCC